AUUGAACGCUGGCGGCAGGCCUAACACAUGCAAGCCGAGCGGAUGAAGGGAGCUUGCUCCUGGAUUCAGCGGCGGACGGGUGAGUAAUGCCUAGGAAUCUGCCUGGUAGUGGGGGAUAACGUCCGGAAACGGGCGCUAAUACCGCAUACGUCCUGAGGGAGAAAGUGGGGGAUCUUCGGACCUCACGCUAUCAGAUGAGCCUAGGUCGGAUUAGCUAGUUGGUGGGGUAAAGGCCUACCAAGGCGACGAUCCGUAACUGGUCUGAGAGGAUGAUCAGUCACACUGGAACUGAGACACGGUCCAGACUCCUACGGGAGGCAGCAGUGGGGAAUAUUGGACAAUGGGCGAAAGCCUGAUCCAGCCAUGCCGCGUGUGCGAAGAAGGUCUUCGGAUUGUAAAGCACUUUAAGUUGGGAGGAAGGGCAGUAAGUUAAUACCUUGCUGUUUUGACGUUACCAACAGAAUAAGCACCGGCUAACUUCGUG
rnacentral:rRNA from 1 species